GAUGAACGCUGGCGGCGUGCCUAAUACAUGCAAGUCGAGCGAACAGACGAGGAGCUUGCUCCUCUGACGUUAGCGGCGGACGGGUGAGUAACAAGUGGAUAACCUUCUUAUAAGACUGGGAUAACUUCGGGAAACCGGUGCUAAUAACGGAUCAUAUAUCGAACCGCUUGGAUCAAUAGUGAAAGACGCUUUUGCUGUCUCUUAUAGAUGGUUCCGUGUCGGAUUAGCUAGUUGGUAAGGUAACGGCUUACCAAGGCGACGAUGCGUAGCCGAUCUGAGAGGAUGAUAAGCCACAAUGGAACUGAGACACGGUCCAGACUACUACGGGAGGCAGCAGUGGGGAAUAUUGGACAAAGGGCGGAAGCAUGAUACAGCCAUACCGCGUGGGUGAAGAAGGGCGUAGGGUUGUAAAGCCCUUUUGUUGGGAAAGAAAAGCAGCAGGUUAAUACCCCGCUGUUCUGACGGUACCCAAAGAAUAAGCACCGGCUAACUUCGUG
rnacentral:rRNA from 1 species